GACGAACGCUGGCGGCGUGCUUAACACAUGCAAGUCGAGCGGUAAGGCCCUUUCGGGGGUACACGAGCGGCGAACGGGUGAGUAACACGUGGGUGACCUGCCCUCAGUUCUGGGAUAAGCCUGGGAAACCGGGUCUAAUACUGGAUAUGACCUCAUGACGCAUGUUGUGGGGUGAAAGCCUUGUGCGACUAAGGAUGGGCCCGCGGCCUAUCAGCUUGUUGGUGGGGUGAUGGGCCACCAAGGCGACGACGGGUAGCCGGCCUGAGAGGGCGACCGGCCACACUGGGGACUGAGACACGGCCCAGGACUCCUACGGGAGGCAGCAGUGGGGAAUCUUGCGCAAU
rnacentral:rRNA from 1 species